rnacentral:rRNA from 1 species
UGGGGGAUAUUGCACAAUGGGCGAAAGCCUGAUGCAGCGACGCCGCGUGGGGGAUGAAGGCCUUCGGGUUGUAAACUUCUUUUGCUCUGAACAAGGCAUGCCUUUGGGGUGUGUUGAGUGUAGGGGUUGAUUAGCGCCGGCUAACUACGUGCCAGCAGCCGCGGUAAUACGUAGGGCGCGAGCGUUGUCCGGAAUUAUUGGGCGUAAAGGGCUUGUAGGUGGCUGGUUGCGUCUGUCGUGAAAGCUCAUGGCUUAACUGUGGGUUUGCGGUGGGUACGGGCUGGCUUGAGUGCAGUAGGGGAUGCUGGAAUUCCUGGUGUAGCGGUGGAAUGCGCAGAUAUCAGGAGGAAUACCGGUGGCGAAGGCGGGUCUCUGGGCUGUUACUGACGCUGAGGAGCGAAAGCGUGGGGAGCGAACAGG